rnacentral:lncRNA from 1 species
CAAUCUGGAUUUUUUUAAAAAAUGCUGAUUAGUUGUGAACGAGGAGGGAGUUAUCAUCCCGGAAAUCACUUGACUCCGUUAAGGGAUGCUGAAGAGACGUCGACUUUUGAUUGGGCCGCCAGAUCAAGGACGCGCUCCUGAAAAGCUGUGCGUAAAAGAACAAAAAGAGAAAUCUCGUUUUGGCACGGUGCAACGAUGGGGAUAAAAAAAGGAGUUCUAUUUUCGUGUUGGUAGAAGAGGAAAAAGAUCAGUGUCUGGAGGCCAUUGUCAUGUCAUCGCCAGAGAAUCGCCACAACGGGCGGUCUCCUCCCACAUGUUCCUCGUGUGUGCGAAAGAAGAGAACUCGCUUCUUCUUUCUUCUAACUUCCCCGGGCCCCGAUAAAAGAAUGUCAUGCAACUCUUUUGUAUUUUUUGGCUUUCUCCGUUCUCUCCGCGAAGAAAACAAACAGAACAACCAAAGUGUGUGUGUAUCACAAUAGAACUGGUGGGAAGACGAAACUCUUUGAUACCCCACACGCACGCACGUUAGUGUUACAAUAAAGUUAAUUUUAGACGGAGCCGCUGGUCGAAUUCAUCACGUUGUCGCGCAGUUCUCCAGUGAUUAGUCGCAUCUCGUUAAAAACCCGACCUAUAUCUUUGUUUGUUACAACCUCCGUGUCAAGGACUGGACGGUCGGGAUCAAUUUCAAAUUUUUCUUUGAAAAAAAAAACCACAGUAUCAACCCCCUUCCCUGUUUUUUUGGGUUUUUUUUUGUGUGGCCAUUAAAAUGACACGAACACUCUUAUCGUGUGUAGUCUACUGGUUUCAAACACCUAAAGGGUGGGGCGUCAAGUCCCGUCCAUCUUCUUCCGAGUUGGGCGGGAAGCACGGAUCGUUAGACUCUUGUUGAACGAUUUAGUACAGCACUGUAUAGUUACACGCUGUUUUUUUUGUUGCUUCUUUAUUUGCGUUAUAGCCUUUUAAAAAUGUAAAAAUACGUCCUUGCCAUUUUUUUUUUUAAUUUUGCUCGUGAUGUGCGCAUCACGCGAAAAACAAAAAAUUGCCGUGGCUAUUUCAAGUUUGCCAACCGGCGAGAGCCAUCACGUUUGGCCGACAAUCACACACACGAUAGAUUGUACCAAUGAAAGAUAGAUAGAUGGUUAGAGAAGGAAGAAAAAUGAAAUACGAUAGGUGAAAAGGGAAAGGCGAUCCGCUCUGUACAGUCAUCCGUCCAUUUGUUUGUUCGUGGCUCACUUCCAACUCGGGUGUUAUUUAUUUAUUUUUUGGCUUCCAAUUUUUUUAUUUAUUUUUUUUUAUUUUUCCUGGGCCGCAGUGAUUCCGUGUAGGUUUCUUUGAUUUCGGACGACUAGCAAAAACAAAAACAAAAACAAAAGGGAAAUGCAGCGCGCGUUUUGGUCGCUGUGGACGCCGUCCGAUCUAUUUUUCGAAACGCAGACAGUCACGCAAGUGCGGAGGUGUGUGUGUUGUCCUUUCUUGACACACACGCACGCACACACUGCGCAGAAUCCUUUUUGCUCCCUGGCCCAAAUUCAUUUUCUUUUCCUCGAAAUUUAGUUUUUUUUUUUUUUCAAAUGUUUGUUGGAGGUGUUGGCACGGGUUGCGUAGACUCUCGAAAUAGUUGCCUGUCGCAUGAGCUAA